CCUACGGGUGGCUGCAGUGGGGAAUAUUGGACAAUGGGCGAAAGCCUGAUCCAGCCAUGCCGCGUGUGUGAAGAAGGCCUUCGGGUUGUAAAGCACUUUCAGUGGGGAAGAAGGCCUUUGGGCUAAUACCCUCGAGGAAGGACAUCACCCACAGAAGAAGCACCGGCUAACUCCGUGCCAGCAGCCGCGGUAAUACGGAGGGUGCGAGCGUUAAUCGGAAUUACUGGGCGUAAAGCGCGCGUAGGCGGUUUGAUAAGCCGGUUGUGAAAGCCCCGGGCUCAACCUGGGAACGGCAUCCGGAACUGUCAGGCUAGAGUGCAGGAGAGGAAGGUAGAAUUCCCGGUGUAGCGGUGAAAUGCGUAGAGAUCGGGAGGAAUACCAGUGGCGAAGGCGGCCUUCUGGGCUGACACUGACGCUGAGGUGCGAAAGCGUGGGUAGCAAACAGGAUUAGAUACCCUAGUAGUC
rnacentral:rRNA from 1 species